rnacentral:lncRNA from 1 species
CGUAUGUUGUAGCGUUGUCCGACUAACUCACCCCUUGUGGACGUAUGUUGUAGCGUUGUCCGACUAACUCACCCCUUGUGGACGUAUGUUGUAGCGUUGUCAGACUAACUCACCCCUUGUGGACGUGCGUUGUCCGACUAACUCACCCCUUGUGGACGUAUGUUGUAGCGUUGUCUGACUAACUCACCCCUUGUGGACGUAUGUUGUAGCGUUGUGUGACUAACUCACCCCUUGUGGACGUAUGUUGUAGCGUUGUCCGACUAACUCACCCCUUGUGGACGUAUGUUGUAGCAUUGUCCGACUAACUCACCCCUUGUGGACGUAUGUUGUAGCAUUGUCCGACUAACUCACCCCUUGUGGACGUGCGUUGUAGCGUUGUCCGACUAACUCGCCCCUUGUGGACGUGCGUUGUCCGACUAACUCACCCCUUGUGGACGUAUGUUGG